UACUUAAAAAAAAAAAAAAAAAACAUUGGCCAGGAUUGUGUGUGUGUGUGUGUGUGUGUGUGUCUCUGUGUGUGUGUGUGUGUGUGUGUGUGUCUCUGUGUGUGUGUGUGUGUGUGUGUGUGUCUCUGUGUGUGUGUCUCUGUGUGUGUGUGUGUGUCUGUCUGUUUUUGACCCCCCCCAAAAAAUUACAAUCACUUCACCAGGAUUGUCUGUCUGUCUGUCUGUCUGUCUGUCUGUCUGUCUGUCUGUCUGUCUCUGUUUUUGACCCCCCCAAAAAAUACAAUCACUUCACCAGGAUUGUCUGUCUGUCUGUCUGUCUGUCUGUCUGUCUGUCUGUCUGUCUGUCUGUCUCUGUUUUUGACCCCCCCAAAAAAUACAAUCACUUCACCAGGAUUGUCUGUCUGUCUGUCUGUCUGUCUGUCUGUCUGUCUGUCUGUCUGUCUGUCUCUGUUUUUGACCCCCCCCCAAAAAAUACAAUCACUUCACCAGGAUUGUCUGUCUGUCUGUCUGUCUGUCUGUCUGUCUGUCUUUGAAUUUUUACCCACAGCCCUCAAACUUGGAAGAGUGGGUUCGGGAACCACCCGCGGGCACCCGGCCUAGAGUGCACAGUGUGUGUCUCGGGCCCCGACCUCUGACUUCCAUACGACUCUGGUUUCUCUUCAUUACGCACAAGCCUUUCGCCUUUUACUAAAGACUUCCGUGGAGAGGAACACUUACGAGUUCAACAUAUUUUUGGAAGGGCUUUGCUUCUGGCAGAGCCCGGUAUCUUGUUUCAAGAGAAAUUGACAGAGAUGACGCCGAGACUUUUUGCUCAGGCGUUUGACUUGAAGCCGGCUGACCGACCGACCGACCGACCGGCGUAUUUUUCCACUCAAAGUAGUCGCGCGGGCAAUUGAGUUCAAGCCCGACGACGACUGACGUGUUUUCCGGGCUUUGAACAAAUAGUCGCACUAGGCUUAAAGAGCUAGUGACUUAAAGACGCAUUAGCGACUUGUUAAAAAAAACACCCGCCUGUCACCAGGGAAGCGUCGGGUGGGGAGGAGACAACUUUUGCCAAACCGCUGAGGUCUGCCGAGACCCCCGGGGGCCCGGCGGGUGCAGGGGUCAAUUUGUGGGUUAUCGCUUCUCGGCCUUUUGGCUCAGAUCAAGC
rnacentral:lncRNA from 1 species